rnacentral:rRNA from 1 species
UCUGGUUGAUCCUGCCAGUAGUCAUAUGCUUGUCUUAAAGAUUAAGCCAUGCAUGUCUAAGUAUAAACACUUGUACUUGUGAAACUGCGAAUGGCUCAUUAAAUCAGUUAUAAUUUAUUUGAUGGUCUCUUUACUACUUGGAUAACCGUGGUAAAUCUAGAGCUAAUACAUGCAUAAAAUCCUGACUAGUGCUUCUUGUACUGGGAGGGAUGUAUUUAUUAGAUUCAAAAGCCAAUGCCAUCUUCUUCGGGGGGUGGAAAUUAUUUCAAUGGUGAUUCAUGAUAACUUUACGAAUCGCACGGCCUCGUGCUGGCGAUAGUUCAUUCAAAUAUCUGCCCUAUCAACUUUCGAUGGUAGUAUAGAGGACUACCAUGGUGGUAACGGGUAACGGAGAAUCAGGGUUUGAUUCCGGAGAAGGAGCCUGAGAAACGGCUACUACUUCCAAGGAAGGCAGCAGGCGCGCAAAUUACCCAAUCCCGACACGGGGAGGUAGUGACAAAAAAUAACAAUACCGGUCUUAUUUAAGUCUGGUAAUUGGAAUGAGUACAAUCUAAACCUUUUAACGAGUAUCAAUUGGAGGGCAAGUCUGGUGCCAGCAGCCGCGGUAAUUCCAGCUCCAAUAGCAUAUAUUAAAGUUGUUGCAGUUAAAAAGCUCGUAGUUGGAUUUCGAAGUUAACGUAUCGCGACCCGCCCUUUUAUGGGGUGUGUUUUGUUGUGGUAUAUUCUUCUCCUUACUAGAUUUUCACUAUUGCACUUAAUUGGGUGAUAGUUUCGCUUCGAUUCGUCGGGGUGAGUGGUGGACGGACCUAUUGGGUCGGGAUUGUGGAUGAGGCGCUUCUUCGGAGGAGUCUUGUUCUGCUUGAUUCAGUAACCGUCCAUUAGAAUUCUAGUUCUUUUACUUUGAGUAAAUUAGAGUGUUCAAGGCAAGCAAAAUUUAUUUUUCUGCAAUGAAUACUAUUAGCAUGGGAUAAUGGAACAGGACACGUAUUCUAGUUUUUCGUUGGUUUCUAGAAUUUUUUAUUAGUGUAAUGAUUAAAAGGGACAGUUGGGGGCAUUCGUAUUUCAUUGUCAGAGGUGAAAUUCUUGGAUUUAUGUAAGACGAACUUCUGCGAAAGCAUUUGUCAAAGAUGUUUUCAUUAAUCAAGAACGAAAGUUAGGGGAUCGAAGACGAUCAGAUACCGUCGUAGUCUUAACCAUAAACUAUGCCGACCAGGGAUUGGAAGACGU